UUAACACCCAUCACCACACAUAGUUACAGUUUUAUUUUUUUGUGAUAACAGCUUUUACCAUGUACUCUGUUGGCAACUUUCAAAUAUAGAGUACAGGAUUGUUAACUAUAGUCACCUGCUGUACCAACAAUUAUCGAAAGAACCUGAUGAAAGUAAGUGUCAUCUUGCAGAGACGGUGGGACAAAGAAGUUGAAGGGGAGACCAUGGACAAGGUGGAGGUAGGAGGCCAGCUCAGCCUGUCUGCUACAUCUCAGAGGCAAAGGGACCUCAGAAGACAUCUGGACUCCUCUGUUUGUAAAUGCCCAGGAGAAAGCCUGGAAGGGUCCACAUCAGCAUGACGGUGGCUGCUUCUGAGAGGAGAGUGGGUUUGGAGAGAACUGAAGUUGGAGGGGAAGUCAUCGAAGAGGGUGUUGGAGGCAAGAGAGAAGAUGAAGGAUACUCUUGGUAAUGGAAACUCAGGAUGAACGGAGAAAAGCAGAGAUGCCCACACAGCUUGAAGAUGUAACAGCGGUUUGAUGCAGAGCGUAGUUUCUGGAGAAGGAGACUGGCAGGGCCACCGUGCUCAGGGCGAGCACUGCCUGGAGAAGCGCUCACGGCAAAACCAACACUCAACACGCGAUUUCCACGUUUUUGCUUUUUUUUAGGUCCUUUGUAAAAGCAAAGCGACAUACUGUGAACUUUUAAAAAGUGGGAGAUACAUCCAUAAAGUAACAAAAAUAGAGGGUUACUACUGGGUUUAACUUCAGCCCGUCACUCCACAUCUGGUUUAACUAGAAGAUGCGGGUUGAGACCUAUGCAAGAUUAACACAAAGACUGUUAAGAGUA